AGGAGAGUCAGUAUCCAUUGUCCUGUGUUCCAGAUGAACCAAGAGCUCACAGUGCUCGGUAACUUCCAAACUGGAAACCACGUUUGUUACCACUUCUGAGCUCUUUGAACUCAGAAAACCUUCCUUCCUAAGGGACACAGACUCAAGUUCUGGAAUUCAUAAAGUGCAGUGAGGAUGAAGAAUCCACUGGGGAGAUAGAGGAAAACCUGCCCCAACGGGAAAGUGUCCCUAUGGAUUCAUGAAGUCGUGUCCCGCUGGAACAGUGGAGACCUUCAGACCAACACAAACCCAGUCACACUCCAAACCUGG
rnacentral:lncRNA from 1 species